UGCUCACAGCUCUGUCCACCUUAACUGCAGAGAUUCAGAAAAAUAUAUAAAAAAGGAUCAAACUUGCGAGAUGAUCUGCAAUAACCCAAAUCCAAAGUUUAAGCAUUGAUAAUAAGAUUUGUGAAUAGAAGAUCCAAGCAAAUUCACAAGACAAGCAUUUGGAUGAUCUUGGUAACAGGAAAGACAAGAAUUCUACGGAAGCCGUGACUUAUGUCUGAUCAGAUUUCGGAGGAUCAUACCGCUGAAAUCUCAAAAUGCAAAAUCGGAAACUAAUGAAGACACUAUAUCAACAAGAUUCCAAAUCAAAGGAAGACAUAGAUAGAUGCAAAUAAACGAGGAAGAGAGCUACAGGUUGGAGGGAGCUGAGAGGUGG